CGCUGGCGGCGUGCCUAAUACAUGCAAGUCGAGCGAACUGAUUAGAAGCUUGCUUCUAUGACGUUAGCGGCGGACGGGUGAGUAACACGUGGGCAACCUGCCUGUAAGACUGGGAUAACUUCGGGAAACCGAAGCUAAUACCGGAUAGGAUCUUCUCCUUCAUGGGAGAUGAUUGAAAGAUGGUUUCGGCUAUCACUUACAAAUGGGCCCGCGGUGCAUUAACUAUUUGGUGAAGUUAACGUUCACCAAGG
rnacentral:rRNA from 1 species